GAAAUGCGAUAAUUAAUGUGAAUUGCGGAAUUCAGUGAAUCAUCGAGUCUUUGAACGCACAUUGCGCCCCCUGGUAUUCCGGGGGGCAUGCCUGUCCGAGCGUCAUUGCUGCCCUCAAGCACGGCUUGUGUGUUGGGCUUCCGUCCCUGGCAACGGGGACGUGCCCAAAAGGCAGUGGCGGCACCAUGUCUGGUCCUCGAGCGUAUGGGGCUUUGUCACCCGCUCCCGUAGGUCCAGCUGGCAGCUAGCCUCGCAACCAAUCUUUUUAACCAGGUUGACCUCGGAUCAGGUAGGGAUACCCGCUGAACUUAAGC
rnacentral:misc_RNA from 1 species